rnacentral:rRNA from 1 species
UGAGGGAAUCUUGCGCAAUGGGCGAAAGCCUGACGCAGCGACACCGCGUGAGGGAUGAAGGUCUUCGGAUUGUAAACCUUUGUCAGUGGGGACGAGAACGGACGGUACCUACUGAGGAAGCAUCGGCUUACUACGUGCCAGCAGCCGCGGUAAUACGUAGGAUGCAAGCGUUGUCCGGAAUUACUGGGCGUAAAGAGCUCGUAGGCGGGAAGGUACGUUUGGAAGUAAAUCUCACGGCUCAACUGUGAGCUCAUUCCAAAUACGGCUUUUCUUGAGGGCAGCAGGGGAGAAUGGAAUUCCCAGUGUAGCGGUGAAAUGCGUAGAUAUUGGGAAGAAUACCGGUGGCGAAGGCGAUUCUCUGGGCUGUGACUGACGCUGAGGAGCGAAAGCGUGGGUAGCGAACGGGAUUAGAUACCCUGGUAGU